rnacentral:rRNA from 1 species
UACGGAGGGUGCGAGCGUUGUCCGGAAUCACUGGGCGUAAAGGGCGCGUAGGCGGCGCGGGUAGUCAACGGUGAAAGCUUGGGGCUCAACCCCGAGUCGGCCGUCGAUACUCCCGUGCUUGAGCACUGUAGAGGCAGGUGGAAUUCCGGGUGUAGCGGUGGAAUGCGCAGAUAUCAGGAGGAACACCGGUGGCGAAGGCGGGUCUCUGGGCCGAUACUGACGCUGAGGAGCGAAAGCGUGGGGAGCGAACAGG